CAAUAAGCAAAAUCUGCUUAUAGCUCACCAAAAACAAACAACAGCCAUGACAAAAACCGUGUACAAUCUACACCAACAGCAGUGGGAAAACCACCAUCCAACCCGUUUUCUGCUUCAACUUCACAGUCAUGUGCUUUCCCACACGAUUUUGGUACGAAAUCUUCUAGAAAGAGGGUGAGGUGUUAUCCCCAACAUCCGAAUUUCGUGAUUUUGGGGAUAACACGUACGGAUUCAUACCUGUUUGGCAAAUUUUCGUUGGUUCUUGGAAAAAUGAUCCAUUUCCCCCAAUGGUUGUUGGCCAUCUGUUGAAAAUCCGUUCAAGAAAAUCAAUAGGGGUGCUAUUUGUGAGGAUUCUCCUCUUUUGAAUUCAAAACGAACCCUCAACCCCCCCUUCUAUAAAUAGCUCUCUUUAGGGUCUGAAGAAGGGGGAUUUUCUUUCUUUUGGUAACUAACUAUUCCUAGGCUUUAGGGUUGAGAAAAUUAGGGGAGAAGAUUGGAGGUUUGAAGAAGGAGAAAUCUUUAGGUUGGUUUGAAAGGCUAGCUCGAAAGUUGGGGUAUGGGAAAUCUGAAAAUAAGAAUUUGUUUUUUCUGCUAAAAUUUUCUUGUCCAUUUUUCUGGGAAGCUAGUCGAUCAAUUGGAGAGUUUCCCAAUCGACAAUAAGAGCUCCCAGUAGGGACAAUUUUGCUGAUAGCUCGAGUCCCUUUUUGCCGCUCCCUGAAAGGUAACAUCCUAUUCCUUUGAGCUCUCGAGUGCUUCUGUUUUAUCUCAUUUUUUUGAAGUCGUAAAGAAAUAAAUUUUCCGUGUGAUUGUAUGCUGGUUUGUUUGCUGGUAGAUGACUGUGAUAGCCAUAGGUUUCAUUCAUGGUAUGUUAUGCAGUUCAAACGACAUUGUUGAUGAAGUUUUCGAUUUAAUACUCUCAUUUUUUGUAUACUGUUUUAGGUCUAUACAGCUGAUCUACGCAGCUGAUUUUCUUAAAGUUUCAUUUUUUUUCGCUAAUUUCAAUUUGAUGGUGGUUUGUCACGGCUGAUUUGAUGGUGAAAAGCAUCAUGGUUUAAUCAUUUUGGAUUGGUGGUAAUUUGUUAAAGCUGGUCUCACUGUUAAAGAUUUUUACUCUAGUCUCGUUCGAUGGUUUCGGAUGAGGGUGUUUUGUUAUGUUAUUAGUAUUUGACAUCGUUUGUUUAUUGGGACUUUCUCUUGAAUUCUGUGCCUUCUCAGGUGACGAAGGACAACGAGCAUACGUCAAAAUAAAAGUUAGUAAAGAUCCUUUGAUUCCCCGAUGACUGUCUGAUUAUUGAAGACUCAUUUCUGAGUUCAUCGGGAAGGGGAGGAGGAUAGAAAUACUACGCCUCACCGUUUUUGUUAAAAUAUUUUGCUAAAAUGUUCCUGCUGUUUUGUCCUCAUCACUUCCUUUGGUUAGUUUGGAAUGUCUUUGGAUUAAAACCGUUUUUUUAAGCUAUGGUAUGAAAUCUUUGCUCUUUUAGUUCCCUGUUUAAGUUUGUAGUUCUUUUUGGGUGUCACUGCUACUUUAGGACGCCGCCUAUGAUCUUCUUCUGAUUUUUUUCGAAACAUUACAUGACUCGUAGUUAAAUACGUUUUUUAGUUUUCCGUGUCGUCGCCCUUUUUUAAGCUUCAGGUUACUAUAUUAGCAUAGGGGAUGCUCUUAGCCGAAAAAGUGCUUCUUGCUGCAUAUUUAAGUUGUACCUUUUUAUUCUCUUCAUUUUUUAAAAAUAAAAAAUAAAAAUAUAUAAGCUCUAAAAUAUAUAAUCUUUGACUUCGUCUUGCUCUAAAAUGUAAAUGACGUGUUGAUCAUAAAAUGGUUUGAGGCUCAAUGCAAUAGAUGUUAUGUUUGAUUGUUUUGUUCUCCCAGUUUUUUUUUUCACUAUAAGAUGUUGGUACACUAUUUUCCAUGUUUUGUUUGGGACAUUAUUUGCAAAGAAUAAUAGGUCCUUCUGUUUUUUUUUUUUUUUAUCAAGAUAUGAGAAUUUUCUGUUUUUUUCCUAAUUGAUCUCAUCGCUAGCCGGAACAGUUUUUCGCAUUAUGUGUAAGGUUUUAAACCUAUCUCCUACCAUUACUUAUUUAACUCCAUACAAGAGUAUGGAUGAUAUGUCUUGCUGAAAAAACCUUUUAAAUAAUGUUCAUCAGUAAUAAUGUUUACAUUUCGUAGCAUUCCCUUUUGUAGAAUAUAGUCUUUGAUUAAUCAGACCUAAGAUUCUACCCAGGCACCCCAUGAUUAUUCCUUCCAGCCUUGUAUAUUUUUUCUCCUUAAUUUGAUUGAUUGUUGUUCCUGUUGCAACACUUAAUUUUUUUAUUUAUUUUUUAUUUUUUUUUGCAUAUGAAUCUAUCGUGGAGUCCAAAUAGGACUCUUUCCCCUUUACAUUUCGGAAAGGGCCAGUGAGGCCCACCCUUUGAGUCAAGCCUGAAAGAAAUCCAAGAAUCCAUUGCAUGGCAUACGGAGUUGCAAGGAGUCGAAAGGAAAACAGGGCAAUGGAGUCAAAACUCAUUCCUGAGUCAUCGUCUUCAUUCGGAUCCUGUGCAUCUUGGAGAUAGGCUAAACUAUUUUGAUACUCGUCUUCUUCUUCGUCUAGUCUUGGAGUAUUAUUAGUUGUAUUACUAAUAUCUGAAACUACUUUGUCUGUACUUGUACUGGCUCUAUCAAUAUGUUUGUCCUGACCUUGGUUACUAAAAAACCUUUCUAGUGUCUAUUGUAAUAUGAUCUCAAUUUUUUCUUUUUUC